AACACGUCAAUCGAAGUAAAGAAUUUAAUAUCCAAGAAAAAAAUGCUGAAUAUGUAAAGCAUCAUUUAUUAUAGAAUUAAAAUGAUAUACCAAUUAUACGGGUUACAUCUUAAAAAAGAUGAUUAUCUUGGAAAGGAUACACAGGUGAACAAAGUUAAGGAACGCGUGAAAAUCUAAAGUUUAAAUAAAAGAGAAGAAAUUUCCGAUGGCUGUGGGAAUGUAACAAAAUUUUAAAGUAGCGAUUUAAGAUAAUCAAUCAUCUACAAACACGUUUUCGGCCACAGCGAAUACGUUCACCACUAAGAAUGUCGGUGGUGCGCUCUCAAAGUAAAAAAAAAGAGUUCAAUGGACUGGCACUGGUUUCACCAAGAACGAUGAGCGAGAAGCGAUUGGAGCUAAAAACUAGAAAUAAGAUGGCGCGCGAGCAGUGAGAAGCGAGUAUAGUUCUGUUGCAACCGGAAAGCGAUGAUCACACGGCAAAUCAAAUCCUGAAGACUAUAGCAGCCACGUCAAAGAAAGAUAUACCUAUCUACCUACCUACCUACCUACCUAUUAAAAAAAAUGUUUAUUCUUUCUCGUUUGAUAUGUAAGAAUGUAUGUCAAUAAGAUGUUAUUAGUUAAGACUGCGUCGACCGUCCAAUGGCACCCUCAUUGGGGCAAUUAUGAUUUCUAAAAAAUACAAGGCAAUUAAUUAAACUAUCAUAUAAAUGAUCAUAUUAAUAUAAUAUGGGAUCCUAUUUGAAAGCAAUUUUACAAUCAUGAUCA